rnacentral:rRNA from 1 species
UGACGGCCUUCGGGUUGUAAACCUCUUUCAGUAGGGAACAAGGCUACACGUUGUGUGGUUGAGGGUACCUGCAGAAGAAGCGCCGGCUAACUACGUGCCAGCAGCCGCGGUAAUACGUAGGGCGCAAGCGUUAUCCGGAAUUAUUGGGCGUAAAGAGCUCGUAGGCGGUUUGUCGCGUCUGCCGUGAAAGUCCGGGGCUCAACCCCGGAUCUGCGGUGGGUACGGGCAGACUAGAGUGAUGUAGGGGAGACUGGAAUUCCUGGUGUAGCGGUGAAAUGCGCAGAUAUCAGGAGGAACACCGAUGGCGAAGGCAGGUCUCUGGGCAUUAACUGACGCUGAGGAGCGAAAGCAUGGGGAGCGAACAGGAUUAGAUACCCUGGUAGUCCAUGCCGUAAACGUUGGGCACUAGGUGUGGGGGACAUUCCACGUUUUCCGCGCCGUAGCUAACGCAUUAAGUGCCCCGCCUGGGGAGUACGGCCGCAAGGCUAAAACUCAAAGGAAUUGACGGGGGCCCGCACAAGCGGCGGAGCAUGCGGAUUAAUUCGAUGCAACGCGAAGAACCUUACCAAGGCUUGACAUAAACUGGAAACACUCAGAGAUGAGUGCCCCGCUUGCGGUCGGUUUACAGGUGGUGCAUGGUUGUCGUCAGCUCGUGUCGUGAGAUGUUGGGUUAAGUCCCGCAACGAGCGCAACCCUCGUUCUAUGUUGCCAGCACGUAAUGGUGGGGACUCAUAGGAGACUGCCGGGGUCAACUCGGAGGAAGGUGAGGACGACGUCAAAUCAUCAUGCCCCUUAUGUCUUGGGCUUCACGCAUGCUACAAUGGCCGGUACAAUGGGUUGCGAUACUGUGAGGUGGAGCUAAUCCCAAAAAGCCGGUCUCAGUUCGGAUUGGGGUCUGCAACUCGACCCCAUGAAGUCGGAGUCGCUAGUAAUCGCAGAUCAGCAACGCUGCGGUGAAUACGUUCCCGGGCCUUGUACACACCGCCCGUCAAGUCACGAAAGUUGGUAACACCCGAAGCCGGUGGCCUAACCCCCUUGUGGGGAGGGAGCUGUCGAAGGUGGGACUGGCGAUUGGGACUAAGUCGUAACAAGGUAGCCGUACCGGAAGGUGCGGCUGGAUCACCUCCA